UACUAGAAGUUUUAAGCACCUGUCAGAAAACGAGAAAAUCAGUAACGAUACCUUUGAAAAGAUCUAUGACCAAACCUUAACCUGGAACAAGAAAAAAACUUCAAUAUCAACCACUAAUAUUUAAAUAAACAAUUAUUCUUAUAGUUCUAAAUCUCGUUAAACAACGCGAUUCAAACAUUACGAGUUAGUUCAGAAAGUUUCAUAUUGAGAGCAAGUUGGAAUUGAUUCCCUUAUCUGUGUUGUCCAAUACUAUAAGAGUGUGGCUAGCUAGCUUUGUUUUUGAAUUAAUUGAUCCCACAUGUAUAAAUACUAUACUUAUUCAGUUCCCACUCUCCAUCUUCUCAUUUUCUCUGUCCUUCCCUACACUCUACAAGUGCAUAUGCAUAUGUUCUGUUAUCUGCUACUUUGAUACUUGCUAUCAUUGAAAUCUGACAUGCAUGCCAUGCCCUCUAACAAAGGGUCUUCGUGGUCUAAACGCUAACCCUUUUGAAUUCUUUUUAAAAGAUACCAUUAUAGCAACCAUAAUUCUGGAACAAGAUAACUGUGAAUAUGAUUAGGAUUCAUUUUGCUGCUUCUUUCAAACUAUUCCAAAUUUAUCAGUACCGGCCAAUGAAGAUGGAAAGUAAGAAUCCAUGAGCCACUUAGCAGUGAGCACAAAGGCUUGAAGAAUAGUUCUAAACCCAAAAGGGGAAAGUGAAAAAGGUUGGAAUGGCAGAGAGCAGGUGUCUAUGUUCUAUGGUAGUGUAGGAUGUGUGAUGUGAACCUAUUGAGGCCUAUUGAGGCCAAAUGAGGAAAGAAGGUAUGGGGUUUUGACAGGUGUUCAACAUAACCUACCUUUGCUUCUUCCUUUAAUCACCACUCAAUUCCUUUCUACUUCUUUCCACAAACAUCUUUGGUUCUCAUCCCCUUACAUGGCCCAUCUAACAUUAUUUCUCUCAUCUCUCACCAAGUUGUAAUAUAAAAUAAUUUAAUAUUUGUUUAUAAAUAUUUCACAACCCAUAUAAAAUGUUAUUUUGACAACUGUGUGAAAUUCAUCAAGUUAUAAUCUUUUCAAAAUUCUCCAUCUCAUUACAUGGAUCCACAUAUCUCAUUACUCAGACCACAUUUAAGUAAGAGAUGUGAUUCACAUUUAAGUAAGAGAUGGUUUCUCUUUCUACUUUUAGGAGUUGCAAUAUGAAAUAAUUCACUCUUGGUUGUCAGCAACUACAUAGUCAAAAUCACCGCUUUACAAUCUUUUAUGAUUUCUUUAACUCCUUAUAUGAGUUCACCUUUCAGUACAAGAUUAUUUAACCUUUCUAUUUUUAGGAGUUGUAAGAUGGAACAUUGUGUUAAAGAUUCCACAUUAAUUAGAAAUAAAGACAUUUCAUAGUAUAUAAGUGAGUGCAAACAUUGUUUUAUAAGAUUGAGUUAGACUUAAAAUCCACUCUUUAACAUAAUGUUAGAAUCAUUUAAAGUAUAUCCUAAUGACAGUUUGUUAGAUCGUUCGAAUCUCUAUCGGACCAUCUAUAAAUAUAUAGUCUCACACACAAAUCUCGGAUGUGAGAGAGAUCCUACACCAACUAAAGAUAAGGACAUUUACUAUCUGGUUAUCAACAUAUAAGGAUUCUAUGCAAAAUUCAUUUUUAAAAAAGCACUAAUUUUUAAUUUUAGAAAGACAAAUAGAAAAAUAAAUUAUAUAAAAAUAAAAACUCUUUAUGGAAAGGAGAAAGAAAUAGAAGAAAGACAAAUAGGUAUUUAGAUAAGAAAUGUGUGUCGUUUAGGGAUGUUCUCUAAUUUUCAUGCUUUGGGGACAAGAUGUUGUCAUUUUUUACUCGUUGUCACAACCGCACAACUAUAACUUCAAAUUCAAAUUAUAUAUAAAACAAAUGCGACUUAAAGGAAAAUCAUUCAUGAAACUCAAAACUAUACAUAUUUCUAUUGCAAAAAUUUAAAUUAGUAUAUGUGGUGGAGUGUUGGGUAUAUUUCGAAAGUUUAACUUUUUAAAAAGAAGAAUAUCCUAAAAUUGUUUAGAAAAUGACAUUUUUUAAAGUUUAGAAACCAAAGUUGACUUUAAAUUUAUAAUGAAAAUUCAUACGAAGUGAAAUCCUUUUCGUCCACUCUCUCAUAGCUAUAUCUCACUUUUUAUUAUAUUGUUUUAAUUAGGAAAAAAAAUAAUAUUUUAGAAAUCCAAAUUAUAUGCAUAUAUAAUUAAGACUAAUACUAAUUUUAAUUUUUUAUUACUUAUAAAAGAAAGAGGGAGUGAUGUAUAAUUAAAACUCAAAAUAAGAGUUUAGAAAGUAAAAUAGAAUGUUUAUGUAUAACUAAAGAUAUUACCACAAAUAUUUUUAAUUCAUUUAAAAUAUAAAAGAUUUCAAAGAAAUGUAAAAGUAUAUAACAUAUAACAAUCAAUUAAAAAUUACAUACAACAAAAUUAAAUGUAGCCUCAAUAUUGUCUAAUGUUUUUUUUUUUCAAUUAUUUUUUAUCAACUAAUGUAAUUCUUAAUCUAUUGUCACCAGUAAAUCUGAUUUGUGUGCAGAGAUAACUAAUUUGAUUUGACUUGUUGUCUUGUGAUUGCAAUGAAAAGGGACCCAAAAUUGAAGUUUGUUUCCUAUUCACACUUUUUCUGCAUAUCUCUUACAAUCUUCUACAUAGCAGAAUAAGAAUUUAUAUGUGUAAUUUAAGUUUGUAUAGUUUUGUAUCAAAUAAAGUGGAAGAGAAAGAAAAAAGUAUUUAACCAAAUAAUUAAUUAAUUAAUUAAAAGAGAGAUAAAUAAAAAUUAAUAUAUAUUGUAAAAAAUGGUAACUUAAUAACGAACGAUAUAUAUUAUAUUAUUUUAAUAAUAAUUUAAAAUUAAUUAUUUUUAAAUUUAUUUCCAAUUAUACUUCAAAUAUUAUAUUAUAUGAUUGAUAUGAUGCAUGUACCAUACAUUUCAAUUGAAACUUCAAUCUUUAAGAGUUGUAUUUUAAAAAGUAUUUAUUAAGAAAACAAAAAAUUAAAACAUCUUAUUAUUUUACAACCUUAAAUUUCAUUAUUUCAAUCAAAAAGUGCCUAAGAGAUUCAAGUUGAAAAUAAUUCAAUCUUUUGUUGAUGAAUCUUCAAUAAAUAUCUCAUAUUGAUAAUGGUAAAUUUUUUUCUCAAAAUACACAUUAAAAGACUAAAAAAAUGCAUGGUUAAUUUUACAAAAAAAUUAUUAAACAGUAAUUAAAUUUAAAAAUAAAAAAAUAAUUAAUUAUUAUAUUAACUAAAUUAAAUACUAAUUUAAAAACUACAAAAUUAUAGAUAUUUAAUAUAAUUUUUAUUAUUAAUAGAAUAUUAUAAAAUUUUUAAAUUGAUCAUAUAUAUAUAUAUGGUUAAAGAAAAGUACAAUUAUGUUUUAUUGUUAGGAAUAUGAUGAUUUUGAUGUUUUAUUUUUUAAGGAAGCUAUAUCAGUUCUUAACUAAAAUAAAUUUAGUAAUGAAAAAAUAAACAGAAGAGAGAGAAAAACAGUGACGUCAGAUUCCACUGUCUCUUUGAUGCUGACUUCCCAACCAUUCAUUCGUGUACAUACGGAUCACACAUCUCUCACCAUAUAGUCCAUUAUUUUAAAAUAAAUAUAUUUAUAAUUAAUUAUGUUAUCAACUUAAUCAAUUAUUUUUAUUUUUAAAAUUGAUUAUUUAUUUUAUAAAAAUCAAUUAUGUGUGUUAAUUAGAGGUACCAAAACUCUCUUAUUUACAAAUUAUUUUUGGAGCAAAAUUGAAAAAUAAUACUAUUUACAUUACUUUCACCUUAUUUUUUUUAAGUAGACGAGAAGACAAGUUUUUCAUCUUCUAUGUCUUUUCACAUUCUCAUACACUAAAAAAAAUAUAUUAAAUUAAAUUAAUUUUAGAUAUUAAAAUAAUUAGUUAUUAUUUAAAUAAAUUAGAGAUCAUUUUAUAAAUUGAAAAAAAUUAUUAGUAUCUAAAUUAAUUUUUAUUAUUAAUAAAAAUUUAUAAAAUAAUUUUUAAAUUGAUAUCUAAUCCUUAAUUACCUAGGUUUUAGCUACUUACUACUUUAUAUUCUAAAUUAGUCUUUUAAAAACUAAUUUAGAAUAUAAAAUGUUAAUAACUAAAAUCUAGGUAGCUAAUUUAUAAACUAUUUUAUAAUUUUUUAUUAAUAAUAAAAAUCACUUUAAAUAUCAAUCAUUUUUUAGUUUUUAAAUUAAUAUCUAAUUUAAUUAAUAUAUUAACUAAUUUUUUUUGUCUUUAAAUUUAGUUAUUAUUUAUUAAUUUUGUUUAGUGAUAUUAGUGCAAACAUGUGUAUCCAAACACGAAUAAUUUCGCAAAACCAUCGUGAAAAACAAUAUAUAUCUACCAUAUCCUCACACACUACAAUUGGUAGCCUUGAACUUCUAAAUUCAAGAAAAAGAAAAUAGACUUAACAUGAAUUGGUGUGAGUAUAUAUUGCUAAAUUAGAAGGUGUAUUAACAAUUUUUGAACCACUUGACUAACAUUGGACCCAUGAAACUAAAGGUCCCUACUCCAAUGGAGCUAGUAUUUGAGUGAUGGACCUCACAUACCACUCACACUCACGGUAAGUGAUGGAAGAAGAUAGAUGAGAAUCACAACAACUAUGUGUAGUAGCAUCAGAAGACUAUUAACAUUUGAAAAUAAUAUGAUGAUCUCACACACGAUUUACUCAAAUCACAUUGCACAUGGGUGCAAGCAAAGCAAUACCAUAUCACUGAGUAACUGUUGCAUAAAUCUUUCAAGGAGAGGGAUCUUGUAGUGCAUGCUAGCUGCACUACAUGUUAUCAAUUAAUUCACACCGUUAGUGUCUCAAAUCCCAUUGUUCUUACAAGUUAUCUGAAAUAGAAUAUCCCUUAUCGAAUUCCUUCUGUCUUUCUUCGAUUCUGGAUGUUUUUCUGAGUGUACGAAAGGGGGUACUUAUAACACUACAAGAAAAUCAUGAAAUAGAAACCAAUUUGUAGAAACCAAAAUAAUUAGUUGCAAUAGUAACUAAAUUAGAGACCAUUUUAGAAACUAAAAAGAAAUUUGGUUUCUAAAUUAGUUUCUAUUAUUUUCUAUAAUUGUUAAAUAGUUUCUAAAUUGGUAUCUAAUUAGCAACCAAGGUUUUUGCUACCAAAUUUAGAAACUAAAUAAUUGGUAGUUAAAACCUUAAUUGCUAAUUAGAUACCAAUUUAUAAACUAUUUAACAAUAAUAGAAAAUAAUUUAGAAACCAAUUUUUUUUUAGUUUCUAAAAUGGUCUCUAUUUUAGUUCCUAUUGUAACUAAUUAUUUUGGUCUCUAAAAAUUGGUUUCUAUUUCAUGAUUUUCUUGUAGUGUAAAGGCACUCUGACUCUCAACUUAGUUGGGUGUUACUUAAAUCUUCUAGUUCAAAAUUCAGAAUCACAUUACCUUUCACCAUGAGAGUCUCUUCUUCUUUAUAUUAUUCUAGUAGACCUUGUUAUGUCAGAAUGGCUUAAACCAGGUCUAAUGAACAUAACGUUGCUUUAUAGUCUUUAAUUGGAUUAACAUCCUUAACCCUUUAUAUGACGUGGAUGUUGGUCUUUGCUGAAAGGCCGUUAGGCCGUCUAGGUGGUCGGUCUUCCGAUUUUGUGAUAUAACACUCAUGUUUAUAACUUAAGUACUAAGACUAAAAUCUAUGUUUAUAAAUUAAGUAGUGAGACUAAAAUCUGUGUGUGUGUUUUUUGAGAAAGUGGAUUAUAUUAGCAUGCAUGAUUUUAUAAGAAGUACUUGAAUGGUUGUUAGGAUUUUACAGUUUCCUUUUGAGGAUGUUUUAAUUAUCUCGUGAGAAGAAGUUAGAAAAGGGAGAGUACAUAGAAAGUGUCAUUGCUUUGGUAUUGCUACCUAGCUAAUCUAGUGGAAUAUUUUGAUGCCUUUUUACCCAUUCUUUUAGAAAUUUUCCUAUAAAUAGUUGCUCCUUGCUCCAAAGAAAUCUAACAUCUCAAAGUUCCAAACACAAUUCUCUUCUUCUCUUCUCUUUUCUUUCUCUCACUCUCUCUCACUAUUACAUAUGUGAUUUUAUUACUCUCUUUUUUCUUUUAGGGGGAGGUUUAUGGGGGUGGAAAAGGUGAGAGGGAGGCACUAGUUUUUUGUAAGGUUGUUGACAGAAGAUAGAGAGCACAGAUGAUGGUAUGCAUAUUACUAUAUAUAGAGAGGAGGAAUUGAUCAAUGGUGCAUCCUACUCCUUUGUGUUCUCUAUAUUUCUGUCAUCACCUUCACCCUCCAUUUCUCAUUUCCCCCCUCACUCUCUCUAUAUAUACCUCAUUUAUCUCUACAAGAACUAGAAUUUUACUCACCAAAAAAUCAUGUAUAAUUUACUGUUGUUGGAAAUCCUACAUCGACUACAUAUGUUAAGAAAUUUCAUAAUAUAUAAGUUGGUGCAAAACUUACCUCAUAAACCAGUUAUAUGAUGUUGAGUUAAGAUCAACUUCUUAAUGGAUGUUCAGCCUGGAAUUUACCUAGCUACUUUUCUCUACUAAUUGCAGCUGUUACAAUUAUACAAUACAUGGGUUUUAAAAAACAGUCUAUGGCUAUGAUUAAUGGCAAGAUCAUAAAAUGAUGAAAUGAAAUUAUAAUAUAUAUGUAAAUUAGGAGAAUAUAUGAUUGGUGUUAACCUUUAUAUUUUGCAGUUAGACUGGUAUGGGUGUUGGACACUAAGAUUAUUAUCUGUUUGUUGAUGGCACAUGAGGGAGAGUAAGAAUGAGAAAGUAUGGCUUCUUUUGAUUCUGUGUUUUGUGCUUGAUCUUCUUCAUAUGGCUUGGUUUUAACAAGAAUGUACUCAUCUUGCUUUAUUGAAGAAGGACCACAUGCAAUAGGAAUUUGUGGCAAGGGAUUGCGAAGAAAAUAUAUGGGGUCCAAAUUCCAAACUCACCAUCACAUAUUGUAGGGAACAUAUAUACUUAAUUGCUCACGAUUCUUCCAAACUCACUACCCCCACACUCUUGUUCCAUGAUUUUCAUGCUCAUCUCUAUCCAAUGCUCCCAAUAAUAAAGGGCCAAGCUUUUCAUAGCAGAUUUUUAUGUGAAUUUACACUAAUUUGUAAGCUAACUUUUUUUUUUAUAAAGUUUUCAUGUUAGACAUAUCUAUAUAUGUAAUUUGACAUUUCAGCUAGACUGACACUUUAAAUAACAACAAUUAUCUAUCAUCACAUGAAAAAACCUUAAACCCUAAACCUUAAAAAUGUAUAAUAACUUUAUAUAGUGUAAUUAAUUUGAUUAUGGGGAAUGAAAAAAAGGCAAAUUUAAGGAACUUUGAGUCAGAGGAGACAAAAGGGUGGUUUUGAGUGAUAUUAACAACAGCUUUUUUGCCAUUGAUGUGGUUUGAGUGAUGAAGAUGAAGCCCAUUAUGACUGUUAAUUAGUAAACAAUGUGAAGAAGAUAAAGUGAAAUAUGAGUUUUUGUCUUCUUGCCUGCAAUGCAAGAAAUAUGAAAUUAAUGAAAAUAUAUAUUCUCC
rnacentral:lncRNA from 1 species